AUUGAACGCUGGCGGCAGGCCUAACACAUGCAAGUCGAGCGAGCGGCGGACGGGUGAGGAAUGUAUGGGGACUGCCCGAUAGAGGGGGAUAACUACUGGAAACGGUAGCUAAUACCGCAUACUAUCGGAUAACCCAUAUGGGAUUAGGUAGUAGGUGAGGUAAUGGCUCACCUAGGCGACGAUCCCUAGCUGGUCUGAGAGGAUGAUCAGCCACACGGUGACGGAGACACGGCCCAGACUCCUACGGAGGCAGCAGUGGGGAACAUGGGACAAUGGGCGCAAGCCGGAUGCAUCCAUGCCGCGUGUAUGAAGAAGGCCCUAGGGUUGUAAAGUACUUUCAGUCGGGAGGCGUUACCGACAGAAGAAGCACCGGCUAACUCCGUGCCAGCAGCCGCGGUAAUAC
rnacentral:rRNA from 1 species